AGACAGCAGUAGCCGCGGUAAUACGAAGGGUGCAAGCGUUAAUCGGAAUUACUGGGCGUAAAGCGUGCGUAGGCGGUGAGUUAAGUCUGCUGUGAAAUCCUCGGGCUCAACCUGGGAAUGGCAGUGGAUACUGGCUCGCUAGAGUGUGUCAGAGGAUGGUGGGAUUCCCGGUGUAGCGGUGAAAUGCGUAGAGAUCGGGAGGAACAUCAGUGGCGAAGGCGGCCAUCUGGGACAACACUGACGCUGAGGCACGAAGGCGUGGGGAGCAAACAGGAUUAGAUACCCCCGUAGUCCCUGUCUCUUAUAA
rnacentral:rRNA from 1 species